rnacentral:rRNA from 1 species
UUGUCGUCAGCUCGUGUCGUGAGAUGUUGGUUAAGUCCCGCAACGAGCGCAACCCCUAUUGUUAGUUGCCAUCAUUCAGUUGGGCACUCUAGCGAGACUGCCGGUAAUAAACCGGAGGAAGGUGGGGAUGACGUCAAAUCAUCAUGCCCCUUAUGACCUGGGCUACACACGUGCUACAAUGGUUGGUACAACGAGUUGCGAGUCGGUGACGGCGAGCUAAUCUCUUAAAGCCAAUCUCAGUUCGGAUUGUAGGCUGCAACUCGCCUACAUGAAGUCGGAAUCGCUAGUAAUCGCGGAUCAGCACGCCGCGGUGAAUACGUUCCCGGGCCUU